rnacentral:rRNA from 1 species
GGAAUCUUCCGCAAUGGGCGCCAGCCUGACAGAGCGACGCCGCGUGGGGGAAGAAGGCCUUCGGGUCGUAAACCCCUGUCGGAGGGGACGAGAGAGGACGGUACCCUCCGAGGAAGCCCCGGCUAACUACGUGCCAGCAGCCGCGGUAAAACGUAGGGGGCAAGCGUUGUCCGGAAUUACUGGGCGUAAAGGGUGCGUAGGCGGCCUGCUAAGUCCUGCGUGAAAGGCCACGGCUUAACCGUGGAGAUGCGCGGGAGACUGGCGGGCUUGAGUGCCGGAGAGGGCCGCGGAAUUCCCGGUGUAGCGGUGAAAUGCGUAGAGAUCGGGAGGAACACCAGUGGCGAAGGCGGCGGCCUGGACGGUAACUGACGCUGAGGCACGAAAGCGUGGGGAGCGAACAGG